rnacentral:rRNA from 1 species
AUUGAACGCUGGCGGCAUGCUUUACACAUGCAAGUCGAACGGUAACAGGCCUUCGGGUGCUGACGAGUGGCGCACGGGUGAGUAAUGCAUCGGAACGUGCCCAGAGGUGGGGGAUAACGCAGCGAAAGCUGCGCUAAUACCGCACGUGCUCUGAGGAUGAAAGCGGGGGACCAAGCAGCAAUGUUUGGCCUCGCGCCUCUGGAGCGGCCGAUGUCAGAUUAGGUAGUUGGUGGGGUAAAGGCCUACCAAGCCGACGAUCUGUAGCUGGUCUGAGAGGACGACCAGCCACACUGGGACUGAGACACGGCCCAGACUCCUACGGGAGGCAGCAGUGGGGAAUUUUGGACAAUGGGCGCAAGCCUGAUCCAGCAAUGCCGCGUGCGGGAAGAAGGCCUUCGGGUUGUAAACCGCUUUUGUACGGAACGAAAAGGCUCUGGCUAAUACCUGGGGCUGAUGACGGUACCGUAAGAAUAAGCACCGGCUAACUACGUG